ensembl:lncRNA
UUAAAAAAAGAGUAAAAUCGAGGACGAGAGUGAAAGAAGGAGCGAGAGAAUAAGACAUGGAGAUACAGAAAGAUUGAGAGCGAUGUGGACUACUGCAUUGCACAACACGACAGGGUGUAGGGUGCUGGCAAAUGGGGGGGUGGCGGGGUGUAAGGCAGGAGGACGGAGCCUUUGGAUUAAUGCUGGUGUCCUCUCCCCUUGUUCUACAUCUCCAUUGUGUAUGGACAAGACCCCGCUCGGCACGUGUAAUUACCACUGACGGUGUUACUCUUUCCAGAGACAAGUUCAAGCACGGCCAGGGUGAUUAGUAUGUGUUGUAUCUUGGGGGAACUUGUAAAUACAAAAAAAGCCCCAAGGGCUGUGGGUAAGUUGGCCAUAUAUUAGUUUAGUUGCUCUUUCCCCUCUGCGUCCCUGUUAAUGUGAAGUUGUUGUUAUUAAUAGCCCUCAAGGACGAAGGGGAUCGCUGGUGCACAAGGCUCAUUUUGCCACUCUUGAAAUUGCCAUGGGGAGAGCACACGAUUGUGAAUAAAUCCACAGAUUGGUCGUCUACUUUCUGCCGUGCACUUUUGGGGCAGAACAUUUUGUUGUACGAGGAUAAUCAAAAAUCAUUUGAUCUCAGAUUCAGUCGGGGACAAAAGGGAAAAGCAUAACGGCUUUAUUCCUUCAAACAGAAUGGGUUUAUGCAGUAACGUCUUUAGCAACAACAUUCAUGGUGAAGAUUACAUCUUCGAGGAAAAUUAACAUUCAUCGCCGCACAGUGGAAGAUUAAAUCAAUUUCUCUGCUUCCGUCACGUCGUGUUAUCAGCCCCAAGAUGGUAAACAGACUUCCAAGGGAAAAGGAAAUGGAAAAGCUCUGGACAAAAAACCCAAACACCCAAGAGGCUCAACCAACACCCCCCUGGCCUCAUCUGGCCUGCAGCCGGCCAACCGCUGUUCCAGUCCUGAGGAGCCUGACCAGAGAGCGUCUGCGGGCCCGCCAGAUGAUGAGGACGUCCCAGAUGAUGAGGACCUCUGAGAAGAACGCCAUCCAGCCCAUCCUGCUGGGGAAUAAACUCACGGCAACGAAGGUAGUCGCCCCGCUGGGGUGCUGGAUCUCAAAUGACCUGCCUGGACUUCUAUUUAAACCUGCUGUGGGUCCGCCGUGGGCCUGUAUACCACUGUAGUACUGCAGGGGACGGCCCUAUGUCCGUUCCUCUUCCCCCUGUAAACCUUGGCCUCUGUCCACCAUACACUAUCCGCUUGGACAACAAGCUUGACUGGACAGUGUUCUCCAUGUCAGUCUACAUGUAGGGGCAGACUCUACCUCCUGAGGAAGUGAGCUGCCGACAUUAGAAGACCGAUGGGAGCAUGGUGCGGAUGCUCUGUGAGUCUCUUCUAGGCUUGGGUGAAUCUGGAACAGCAGCAUGACUAAACAGCUUGUUAAGUCCAACACUCUCCUGACAAUGAUCAGGAUGGCCGGCGUGUUCUGGGGUAGAACUGGACCCCCUGUAGCCGUCAGAGAAAAGAGACUGUGCAAAACACCUCUCUACCCUUGAUAAUGACUCCGGACUGCAGUCUGAACAGAGAAGUCUGUUCAGCAGUUGACGCCUGGCAUUGAGGAGGUCCACCGGGUGGUUCGGGAAAACCUUAAUUCCUGUGGACAGAGAAGUCUUUAACUCCUCUCACCACCGCCAGGUCACUCUAUACUGCACUGUCGUGGAAUUCAGUCAAUUUGAACAUUUUAGGAUUUAUCGUAUCAAGAUGAUCUGUGCUACAUACCUGUGACAAUUUAUUUAAUUUCAGUUACAUAGCUACUUCAUUUUAUGUACAAACAUUCAGCUGUUAUAAAUGUCAUCAUAUUUGAUCCAUAAUUAGAAUAUGUAUAUUUAUGGAGUGUUUUGUGUUUGUAUUUAUUUUUGAUGUUUGUUCUAUUUGCAUUGAAGUUUCUGGCUUGUGAUUAGAGACUGUAACAAAAUAAAUUCUUCCGGGAUCAAUAAAGUAAUCUGUGCCUAUAUCUGUUAACAA